rnacentral:tRNA from 3 species
GCUUCUGAAGUUCAACGGAUGAACAACUCCCUCCUAAGGAGUAGGCUGCUGGUUCGAAUCCAGUCGGGAGCAC